AACCUCCGCAAUGUGAGAAAUCGCGACGGGGGGAUCCCAAGUGCCAUUCUUAACGGGAUGGCUUUUCAUUAGUGUAAAGAGCUUUUGGAAUAAGAGCUGGGCAAGACCGGUGCCAGCCGCCGCGGUAAGACCGGCAGCUCUAGUGGUAGCAAUUUUUAUUGGGCCUAAAGCGUCCGUAGCCGGUUUAAUAAGUCUCUGGUGAAAUCCUGUAGCUUAACUGUGGGAAUUGCUGGAGAUACUAUUAGACUUGAGACCGGGAGAGGUUAGAGGCACUCCCAGGGUAGAGGUGAAAUUCUGUAAUCCUGGGAGGACCGCCUGUUGCGAAGGCGUCUAACUGGAACGGUUCUGACGGUGAGGGACGAAAGUUAGGGGCGACGAACCGGGAUUAGAUACCCGGGUAGUCCUAACUGUAAACGAUGCGGACUUGGUGUUGGGGUGGCUUUGAGCUGCUUCAGUGCCGAAGGGAAGCUGUUAAGUCCGCCGCCUGGGAAGUACGGUCGCAAGACUGAAACUUAAAGGAAUU
rnacentral:rRNA from 1 species